GUCAGUUGGAUAUCCAGUUAUUGAAUUAUUGUUGAUAAUAAUAAUAAUCAAUAGUUCAUUUCCCUGUAUAUUUUACAGAUUGUUAAUCUGCAACUCGAUAUUAUUGCACUUUGACAUGGUGGUGAGCCAAUGAUAUUGUUGAUUUCUUUUAUAUGAUUAAAAGUGAUGAGAAAAUUGAUUGCAUUGCAGAAAUGGAGAUAGGUAUGCUGG
rnacentral:misc_RNA from 1 species